UUUUGGACAAUGGGCGCAAGCCUGAUCCAGCCAUUCCGCGUGAGUGAAGAAGGCCUUCGGGUUGUAAAGCUCUUUCGCAAGGGAAGAAAGAUUACUCUCUAAUAUAGAGUGAUUAUGACGGUACCUUGAUAAGAAGCACCGGCUAACUACGUGCCAGCAGCCGCGGUAAUACGUAGGGUGCGAGCGUUAAUCGGAAUUACUGGGCGUAAAGCGUGCGCAGGCGGUUUUGUAAGUCAGAUGUGAAAUCCCCGAGCUCAACUUGGGAACUGCGUUUGAAACUACAAGACUAGAAUAGGUCAGAGGGGGGUAGAAUUCCACGUGUAGCAGUGAAAUGCGUAGAGAUGUGGAGGAAUAUCAAUGGCGAAGGCAGCCCCCUGGGAUCAUAUUGACGCUCAUGCACGAAA
rnacentral:rRNA from 1 species